UACAGAGGUCUCGAGCGUUGUUCGGAUUUAUUGGGCGUAAAGGGUGCGUAGGCGGCGCUGUAAGUCGGGUGUGAAAUCCUGAGGCUUAACCUCGGAACUGCAUUCGAUACUGCGGUGCUUGAGGACUGGAGAGGAGACUGGAAUUCAUGGUGUAGCAGUGAAAUGCGUAGAGAUCAUGAGGAAGACCAGUGGCGAAGGCGGGUCUCUGGACAGUUCCUGACACUGAGGCACGAAGGCCAGGGGAGCAAACGGG
rnacentral:rRNA from 1 species